rnacentral:rRNA from 1 species
UACGUAGGGUGCAAGCGUUAAUCGGAAUUACUGGGCGUAAAGCGUGCGCAGGCGGCUUUGCAAGUCAGAUGUGAAAUCCCCGGGCUCAACCUGGGAACUGCAUUUGUGACUGCAUGGCUGGAGUGCGGCAGAGGGGGAUGGAAUUCCGGGUGUAGCAGUGAAAUGCGUAGAUAUGCGGAGGAACACCGAUGGCGAAGGCAAUCCCCUGGGCCUGCACUGACGCUCAUGCACGAAAGCGUGGGGAGCAAACAGG